ensembl:lncRNA
GGAGAGGGAGAGAGACAGAGGGAGAGAGAGAGAGAGAGAGAGAGAGAGAGAAGGAGAUAGAAGGAGAGAGAGAGAGAGAGAGAGAAGGAGAGAGAAGGAGAGAGAGAGAGAGGGAGAGAGAGACAGAGAAGAAGAAGAAGGAGAGAGAAGGAGAAAGAAGGAGAGAGAGAGAAAUAUGGCUGUUUUUCCUGUUUAACAAUCCCUACUCUAAACAAUUCCAGGAGGAAAGUGUGAGUCUCCAAGGUGGAUUUUGGACACAGAUUUAUGCCCCUAUCCCAGCCAGGGACAAUCACCCAACCAUCAUAUUCACUAAUAUGCUGCACCAAGGCAGAGAGAAAUUUGCAUUAUAAUUGUAAAGCCAAAUUCAAACCACUCAUACAUGUUCCAUACAUAACUACAAUUACAAGAGUAUGUGUACAACUGGGGCAGAAUAUUUAAGUGUGAUCUGUAUGCUGAUUGGAAUACAUGCUAUUGUCUUAGAGGACAAUAAUAUACACAGAUGUUUGAUUUUAUGGUUACUGCAUAUAGUAUGUCCCCAACAGUACAUGUGGAGGAAGCAUAUCUGAACUACAGGUAUUGGGAGGAAGACAAAAUCCUCAACAGCUUCUUUGACCAAAAUGGAAACAUAUUGUUAAGAUGGUCUGUAAUAAGGAGAGCAAAUCUGUAUGGCAACACAUCCUGUCUGGACUUUACCCGGGCAGUGGCACACUAUCUCUGUGACAUGUGUUAUGUAGUUUGGGGUAUAGGAGAAAUCAAUUAGAAACUCAAUGCAUACAUACAAGUGUUGUUGAAUAUGAAAUAUAUACAGUUGAAGUAGGGAAGUUUACAUACACUUAGGUUGGAGUCAUUAAAACUUGUUUUUCAACCACUCCACACAUUUCUUGUUAACAAACUAUAGUUUUGGCAAGUUGGUUAGGACAUCUACUUUGUGCAUGAAACAAGUAAUUUUUUCAACAAAUGUUUACAGAAAGAUUAUUUCACUUAUAAUUCACUGUAUCACAAUUCCAGUGGGUCAGAAGUUUACAUACAAUAAGUUGACUGUGCCUUUAAACAGCUUGGAAAAUUCCCAAAAAUUAUGUCAUGGCUUUAGAAGCUUCUGAUAGGCUAAUUGACAUAAUUUGAGUCAAUUGGAGGUGUACCUGUGGAUGUAUUUCAAGACCUACCUUCAAACUCAGUGCCUCUGCUUGACGUCAUGGGAAAAUCAAAAGAAAUCAGCCAAGAACCCAGAAAAAAAUUGAAGACGUCCACAAGUCUGGUUCAUCCUUGGGAGCAAUUUCCAAACGCCUGAAGGUACCACGUUCAUCUGUACAAACAAUAGUACGCAAGUAUAAACACCAUGGGACCACGCAGCCUUCAUACCGCUCAGGAAGGAGACGCGUUCUGUCUUCUAGAGAUGAACGUACUUUGGUGCGAAAAGUUCAAAUCAAUCCCAGAACAACAGCAAAGGACCUUGUGAAGAUGCUGGAGGAAUAGAUGGAAUUAGAUGGUAUCAUGAGGCAGGAAAAUGAUGUGGAUAUAUUGAAGCAACAUCUCAAGACAUCAGUCAGGAAGUUAAAGCUUGGUCACAAAUGGGGCUUCCAAAUGGACAAUGACCCCAAGCAUACUUCCAAAGUUGUGGCAAAGUGGCGUAAGGACAGACAAAGUCAAGGUAUUGGAGUGGCCAUCACAAAGCCCUGACCUCAAUACCAUAGAAAGUUUGUGGGCAGAACUUAAAAAGCGUGUGUGAGCAAGGAGGCCUACAAACCUGAUUCAGUUACACCAGCUCUGUCAGGAGGAAUGGGCCAAAAUUCACCCAACUUAUUGUGGGAAGCUUGUGGAAGUUAAACAAUUUAAAGGCAAUGCUAUCAAAUACUAAUGGAGUAUGUAAACUUCUGACCCACUGGGAAUGUGAUGAAAGAAAUAAAAGCUGAAAUAAAUCAUUCUCUCUAUGAUUAUUCUAACAUUUCACAUUCUUAAAAUAAAGUGGUGAUCCUAACGGACCUAAAACAAGGAUUAUUUUACUGGAAUUAAAUGUCAGGAAUUGUGAAAAACUGAGUUUAAAUGUAUUUGGCUAAGGUGUAUGUAAACUUCUGACUUCAACUGUAAUUACAUAAAGAUAAAGGUAGGGUUGAAGCCGCCCUUUGUAAAACAUGUUUCUCAAGAAAUAAAUCACAUCAUCACAUAAAAGCAGGUCUGGUUGAGCAAGCAAAAAUUAAUAGCAUCUGGGGAUGUUACAGCAGUAUGAUGGUAUAGGAGUAGGAUGUUAUAGGGCCAGGUGUUGUAGGAGUAGGAUGUUAUAGGAGUAGGGUAUUAUAGGAGUAGGAUGUUAUAGGGCCAGGUGUUAUAGGAGUAGGAUGUUAUAGGGCCAGGUGUUAUAGGGCCAGGUAUUAUAGGGCCAGGUAUUAUAGGAGUAGGAUGUUAUAGGGCCAGGUGUUACAGGGCCAGGUGUUAUAGGAGUAGGGUGUUAUAGGGCCAGGUGUUAUAAGAGUAGGAUGUUAUAGGGCCAGGUAUUAUAGGAGUAGGGUGUUAUAGGGCCAGGUGUUAUAAGAGUAGGAUGUUAUAGGGCCAGGUGUUAUAGGGCCAGGUGUUAUAGGGCCAGGUGUUAUAGGAUUAGGAUGUUAUAGGGCCAGGUGUUAUAGGAGUAGGGUGUUAUAGGGCCAGGUGUUAUAUGGCCAGGUGUUAUAGGAGUAGGAUGUUAUAGGGGUAGGUGUUAUAGGAGUAGGGUGUUAUAGGGCCAGGUGUUAUAGGAGUAGAUGUUAUAGGAGUAGAUGUUAUAGGGGUAGGGUGUUAUAGGGCCAGGUAUUAUAGGAGUAGGGUGUUAUAGGAGUAGGUGUUAUAGGAGUAGGUGUUAUAGGGCCAGGUGUUAUAGGGCCAGGUGUUAUAGGGCCAGGUAUUAUAGGAGUAGAUGUUAUAGGAGUAGGUGUUAUAGGAGUAGGGUGUUAUAGGGCCAGGUAUUAUAGGAGUAGAUGUUAUAGGAGUAGGUGUUAUAGGAGUAGGGUGUUAUAGGAGUAGGGUGUUAUAGGAGCAGGGUGUUAUAGGAGUAGGAUGUUAUAGGAGUAGGGUGUUAUAGGAGUAGGGUGUUAUAGGAGUAGGGUGUUAUAGGAGUAGGUGUUAUAGGAGUAGGGUGUUAUAGGAGUAGGUGUUAUAGGAGUAGGUGUUAUAGGAGUAGGGUGUUAUAGGAGUAGGUGUUAUAGGAGUAGGGUGUUAUAGGAGUAGGGUGUUAUAGGAGUAGGUGUUAUAGGAGUAGGGUGUUAUAGGGCCACGUGUUAUAGGAAUACAUUUUACAGCAUUAGAUAUACAUUUAUGGACUGAGUUCAAAAAUUAUUUUUUAAAUCUUUGGACAUUUUUUAGGAGCUGAAUGAAAGUACAUGAUGGAGAUGUAUUCGAACAUGUGUCUGUGUAUCGAUCUGACAUAUAAUUCAGAUAUAUCGGAUAUAUCGAUAUAAUUCAGUCUAUUUGUCAUCACCAUCUUUUGUAUUGUAGUAUUUGGUGUAAUUUCCCUCCUAUGUCCCUUUAGUUUUGUAUGCUGG